rnacentral:rRNA from 1 species
UACGGAGGGGGCUAGCGUUGUUCGGAAUUACUGGGCGUAAAGCGCGCGUAGGCGGCGAUCCAAGUUAGGGGUGAAAGCCCGGGGCUUAACCUCGGAAUUGCCUUUAAGACUGGAUUGCUUGAGUACGGGAGAGGUAAGUGGAAUUCCGAGUGUAGAGGUGAAAUUCGUAGAUAUUCGGAAGAACACCAGUGGCGAAGGCGGCUCACUGGACCGUUGCUGACGCUGAGGCGCGAAAGCGUGGGGAGCAAACAGG